AGGAGGCACGAAUUAUCUUGAUUUCCUCUGCUCAACCCUUCCCCGAUCUUUCUUCUCGUUUCUGCCGACCCUCUCUUCCCCGAUUCGAUCGCCGGCUUGAAGAUGCCCUAGGGUUUCGAAGGUCUCGGGUUUGGAGAGGUUGGUAUCAGGGAGGUGUUGCUUGGAUUAGGGAAGGAAUCAGAUCAGACUCGUGCUAGGUUUUCCCUGGAUUGGAUCUUGGAUCUCCUCUGCCUUGCUAUUGAUUAGGGUACGGGAUUGAAGAGGAGGAGGGAGGUUUGUUUUGUUUUGGUUC